rnacentral:rRNA from 1 species
UACGUAGGCAGCAAGCGUUGUUCGGAGUUACUGGGCGUAAAGAGUGUGUAGGCGGUUUGGUAAGUUUGGUGUGAAAUCUCCCGGCUUAACUGGGAGGGUGCGCCGAAUACUGCCGGACUAGAGUGUGGGAGAGGGAAGCGGAAUUCCUGGUGUAGCGGUGAAAUGCGUAGAUAUCAGGAGGAACACCUGUGGUGUAGACGGCUUCCUGGACCACCACUGACGCUGAGACACGAAAGCGUGGGUAGCAAACAGG